rnacentral:rRNA from 1 species
AGGAAAAAGCUUGCUUUUUUGCUGACGACCGGCGAACGGGUGCGUAACGCGUAUAGAACCUACCUUUUACAGGGGGAUAGCCUUUAGAAAUGAAGAUUAAUACCCCAUAGUAUUAUUGAGUUGCAUAACUUAACAAUUAAAGAUUUAUCGGUAAAAGAUGGCUAUGCGUCCUAUUAGCUAGAUGGUGUGGUAACGGCGCACCAUGGCAACGAUAGGUAGGGGCCCUGAGAGGGGGAUCCCCCACACUGGUACUGAGACACGGACCAGACUCCUACGGGAGGCAGCAGUGAGGAAUAUUGGGCAAUGGAGGCAACUCUGACCCAGCCAUGCCGCGUGUAGGAAGACUGCCCUAUGGGUUGUAAACUACUUUUAUACGGGAGGAAACGCCGCUACGUGUAGUGGUUUGACGGUACCGUAAGAAUAAGCAUCGGCUAACUCCGUGCCAGCAGCCGCGGUAAUACGGAGGAUGCAAGCGUUAUCCGGAAUCAUUGGGUUUAAAGGGUCCGUAGGUGGAUUAAUAAGUCAGAGGUGAAAUCCUGCAGCUCAACUGUAGAACUGCCUUUGAUACUGUUAAUCUUGAGUCAUUAUGAAGUAGUUAGAAUAUGUAGUGUAGCGGUGAAAUGCAUAGAUAUUACAUAGAAUACCAAUUGCGAAGGCAGAUUACUAAUAAUGUACUGACACUGAGGGACGAAAGCGUGGGGAGCGAACAGGAUUAGAUACCCUGGUAGUCCACGCCGUAAACGAUGGUCACUAGCUGUGUGGAUUUUAUCUGCGUGGCUAAGCGA